rnacentral:rRNA from 1 species
GACGAACGCUGGCGGCGUGCUUAACACAUGCAAGUCGAACGGAAAGGCCCUGCUUUUGUGGGGUGCUCGAGUGGCGAACGGGUGAGUAACACGUGAGUAACCUGCCCUUGACUUUGGGAUAACUUCAGGAAACUGGGGCUAAUACCGGAUAGGAGCUCCUGCUGCAUGGUGGGGGAUGGAAAGUUUCGGCGGUUGGGGAUGGACUCGCGGCUUAUCAGCUUGUUGGUGGGGUAGUGGCUUACCAAGGCUUUGACGGGUAGCCGGCCUGAGAGGGUGACCGGCCACAUUGGGACUGAGAUACGGCCCAGACUGCUACGGGAGGCAGCAGUGGGGAAUAUUGCACAAUGGGCGGAAGCCUGAUGCAGCAACGCCGCGUGCGGGAUGACGGCCUUCGGGUUGUAAACCGCUUUCGCCUGUGACGAAGCGUGAGUGACGGUAAUGGGUAAAGAAGCACCGGCUAACUACGUG